rnacentral:rRNA from 1 species
AACGAACGCUGGCGGCAUGCCUAACACAUGCCAGUCGAACGAGAUCUUCGGAUCUAGUGGCGCACGGGUGCGUAACGCGUGGGAAUCUGCCCCUUGCUUCGGAAUAACAGUGAGAAAUUACUGCUAAUACCGGAUGAUGUCUCCGGACCAAAGAUUUAUCGGCAAGGGAUGAGCCCGCGUAGGAUUAGGUAGUUGGUGGGGUAAUGGCCUACCAAGCCGACGAUCCUUAGCUGGUCUGAGAGGAUGAUCAGCCACACUGGGACUGAGACACGGCCCAGACUCCUACGGGAGGCAGCAGUGGGGAAUAUUGGACAAUGGGCGAAAGCCUGAUCCAGCAAUGCCGCGUGAGUGAUGAAGGCCUUAGGGUUGUAAAGCUCUUUUACCAGGGAUGAUAAUGACAGUACCUGGAGAAUAAGCGCCGGCUAACUCCGUG